AACCGUGUAUGUUUGCAGGUUUGAGUGAUUCAACCAUGUAUGUUUGCAGGUUUGAGUGAUUCAACCAUGUAUGUUUGCAGGUUUGAGUGAUUCAACCAUGUAUGUUUGCAGGUUUCAGUGAUUCAACCAUGUAUGUUUGCAGGUUUCAGUGAUUCAACCAUGUAUGUUUGCAGGUUUCAGUGAUUCAACCAUGUAUGUUUGCAGGUUUGAGUGAUUCGAACUGAUGUAUGUUUGCAGGUUUGAGUGAUUCGAACUGAUGUAUGUUUGAAGGUUUGAGAGAGUCGAACCGUAUGAUUGUGGUACAUUAGACCUAGGUUAUGUUUUGAAACGGUAAAGGAGAAGUGCACGGUGUUUACUAGACAGUGGCUAGAUUGGGACACAUUCUAAGGCAGCACACAAUUGAACCUGAUCAUUUAUAUUGUAUUCAAAUUAAAACAAGUAAUUGAAAUACAUUAGACAAUGGCUAAUCAGGAGGCAGAGAAGGUGUUGAAAACAUUGAAAUCGGCAUUAGAGACCAAUGGAGGAAAAGAGGGAAAAGAUUGGAGAAAGAAAGGAGAAAGAUUAUACAGA
ensembl:lncRNA